CAACCCCAAGUGUGUUUUGGAAUGGGGUGGGCUCAUCUGCUUGGCUCACUGCUUCCAAUUCUAUAUUUGUGUGGACCUCUUAACAGUGCCAACGGUAGCAUCAUGCACUAGAGUCAAUCCAAUUAUGUACUUCUUGCACAAUAUUCUUUCUCAACACUGUGUUGUAUAAUCUAUUCCUUAGAUAGUAUAAACAGUGGUAGCAGAUAGUCAGGUCUUUAACAUAAAAGCUCUUCCAGUGAUACAAAGUACAAGAAUGAGUUUAACAAAGUGCACUAAAUUUUAUCUAUGAUUAUAUCAUAUUUUCCAAAAUAUGUGGCUAUUUUGGUGCUCUUUAUCCUGAGAGUUGGUGCACUGGACACUUUUCUUGCUUCAGUGUUUGAGCAUGCUGUUAUAUUACCAAACAGAACAGAAACACCUGUGCUAAAAGAAGAAGCUUUGCUCCUGAUGAACAAGAAUAUAGAUGUUUUAGAGAAAGCACUUAAACUGGCAGCCAGGCACACUGACUGGGACAUUGGAAAGAAAAUCUGAAACUUCAUAAGAAUGUGAGCGUUUCGACUUCAGUAGAAAUUUUUUUUCUCCUUUACUUGUUUUGAGCAGGAUGCACAUAUCAUUGUGACCCCAGAAGAUGGAAUUUAUGGCUGGGUCUUCACAAAGGAGACCAUUUAUCCCUAUCUGGAGGAUCUACCAGACCCUGAAGCAAACUGGAUUCCAUGUAGAAACCCCAGAGUACCUAAAGCUGCAUUUCUGGAGGAUGAUCGGCCUGGGACCAACUAUUUACUGCCUCCUAGUAUGAACGUGGCUUGCAUUAUGGAAAAGAUUCUCUCCAUUAGAAAAGCCCUUCAUUUGUCUUCCUGGGAGAACUUCAUAAGAAAAUAUGUUGCUUCUCUUCUUUCUCCUCUUCCUCUUCUACCCAUUCUGUGCUUCGGUCUUGCACUGCUGUUGUGAAUCUGGCAACUAGAAUAGUUCAAUCUUUUUUGCACCUGAAGUUCAGUUUGAUUUUCCCAAGGAUUCAGAACAUGUGACUCUCAACACUCCCUCUGGGACAUUGGGCAUUUUCACUUGUUUUGACAUUUUCUCUCAUGACCUGGCUGUGGUGGUGGUGGAAGAGUUUCAGCUUGACAGCAUCCUCUACCCCAAGGCCUGUACGGUGAAGAAUCUCAAACACAAACAAAUUAGAUAGGUUGGUGGAUACUUAAAAUUGUUCUUCAUGUCUGAGAAACUUUUUGGUUUGUUGUCAAGUUGGCUAAAGAAAGGGGAGCUUAAGUUAAAAAAAUAAAAAAAGCCAUCCAAGUCAAAUGAUAGUUUCAGUGUAAGCAGACUCUUAUGGAGGACACAGAUUCAAAUUGAACUCAGGCAGUGAAAUCUACGCACUGGAGGCUGCCAAGGUGUAUCACUAGAAUGUGGAAACAGAGACAGAGAGUGUCCAGCUGAUGCUCUCAGAAUCGAAGUCUCGACCUUGACGAGGACCCAGUUACCCUGCAGCUGCUGACUGGAGUGCUUAUGCUAGAGGUGUCAAGCCAUCUCAUUUGAGCAGUUGAAUUUUCCAAGGAUGAUUUAUUUUGAUGAGUUCAUCUUCACCAAGCUUAAGAGAAACACAGGAAAUUACACAGUUUGUCAGAAAGACCUGUGCUGUCGCUUAACUUACGAGAUGUCUGAGAAAUGAACUGAUGAAGUAUAUGAACUUGGUGCCUUUGACGGACAGCAUGCAAUAGAAAGCCAAUACUACUUACAGGUAUGCAUAUUACUGAAAUGUCAAACCCCUGACCUGGAAACCUGUGGUGAGCCUGUGGGGUCAGCUUUUACCAAGUUUGAAGAUUUCCUCAGUGGCACAUUUGGAACAAGUUAUAUUUUUGCACAGAUCAUUCUCAGUGGGAGUCAGCUUUCCCCUGAAAGACACUGUGAGGUAGAGGAUUUUCAGGAGGAUAAAUUCCUUUGAACAGACGGAGUAGACUGACAUAAUGAAAAUUUGAAAUAAUGAGACAGCAUUGUAACACUGAGGUUCACCUAAUAUAAACAACUUAUACAAAGACACUAUGAUAUGAAGACAAGUUGUAGUUCUAGACUGUCUUUAGGCUGUGAUGGAGAAUUUGGGGUUUUAUUUUCUUACAUAAAUAUGAUUUUGAGAAUAAAAGAAACAAAAUUAUGGAGGAAUUAAAAUAAAAAUAUUGAUUGCCAAUGAUA